rnacentral:lncRNA from 1 species
AACGGGGAAGAAGACUGAACCAAGUAGAAAUGUAGCAAAAUGUACAAGUUUAUUGGUGUGAUGAUUAACCCAAUCAAUAAAGUAGAAAAAUUACCAUCCUUCCUUGAAUGGUAUAUAAGCAUAUGUAACUCACAGUAAACUUAAACUCUGAUCACCAGUCAGCAGUCCCCAUCUCUCUCUCAAUUACUGAUAAUCCUGAAGGUGGAAAUACCUGAAAGUGUAUGGUGUUAGGCUUUUUCUCAUGGCACAGAGUGACAUGUGGGCCAGAGAGUACAGUCCGUGGUGCUUACUUGUCUCUUCAACAGGUUUCCUCUGUCUGAACUAAGAGAUGUAGCCAGAAAGAUGAGGUUAUCUUGGUUCAGAGCCUGGAGAAAGAGGACCUCUCCAUCUAGAUGGGCUGUUAGAUGAGGAGAGAGAUGCCACAGCUGUCUUGGAAGAAAAGACUGUGUGGAGCAUCACAAGGGAAGCCUCAAAAAAACAGAACUGCAUCCAGACUCUCCUUUUGGAUUCACAAUCCUGGUAAUUGUUUUCAGGCAGGACUCUGGGAGGGUAAUUCAGAGAGCUCCUAAAGAUUAGACACUGGAUGGAUGACAGAGGCCUUAGCUUGAAAGAACCUGGUGGAACACUGUCUCAAGGUAUGAUAGUUACAGGUCAGAGAGGUGUUGAUCUGCUUUCAAGGUGGAUUUUUAGAAAUUUCUUGCAAUAGUAGUAUACACUCACCCAUCCUUGUGUUGUCUCUUUCCUCAGGUCCUGCAAAUAUGGUCCCCAAAACUUCUCCAUUGUAAGAGUGCUAAACUGAAGUGUCUGAAGAGAAGCCUGAUUGUAAGAGCAGUUUUUUAAUUUCUACAUCUCAUUCUGGCUAUUGUUAUUCUAACCUUGUAGUACAUCCUUCCCCCCCCCGUAUUAAGACUAUGCAGCAUUAAAUGGAAACAAAGCUAAAUUCAUUUCCUUAGUGGUUUGGGACUGUAUGUUUGGGGUUUUUGUUAGUGCUGAUGUUUGCUACUGGUAUUUUUUUCAGAAGCUGGAAUAGCAUGAAAAGUAUACUGCAAAGAAAAUGUGCUUGGAGGGGUGUGCCUUUUCAGGACAAAAUGAGAGAAACUGCCAUGGGUGAAUAAAACUCCUGACUAUCCUCUUACAGUGGAAUUUGUUACUUUGGCUGGUUGAACACCCUUUGGAUAGGGUUCUGCCUUUAGGCAAUGUGUCAUUUAUCCCAAUAGCUGUAGUUUGGUAACUAUAGC